rnacentral:misc_RNA from 1 species
GAUGAAGAACGUAGCGAAAUGCGAUACUUGGUGUGAAUUGCAGAAUCCCGUGAACCAUCGAGUCUUUGAACGCAAGUUGCGCCCGAAGCCAUUAGGCCGAGGGCACGCCUGCCUGGGUGUCACACGUCGUUGCCCCCCCAUCUACUCCUUCGGGAUUGCGGGGGGCGGAUGAUGGCCUCCCGUGCGCCUCGUCGCGCGGUUGGCAUAAAUGCCAAGUCCUCGGCGACGCACGCCACGACAAUCGGUGGUUGCGAAACCUCGGUUGCCCGUCGUGUGCGGUCGUCGCGCAUCGAGGGCUCGAAAAAAUUGCCGGGCUCCGGCUCGGCUUUCAACGCGACCCCAGGUCAGGCGGGGUUACCCGCUGAAUUUAAGCAUAUCAUAAGCGGAGGA